UACGGAGGUCUCAAGCGUUGUUCGGAUUCAUUGGGCGUAAAGGGUGCGUAGGCGGCGCGGUAAGUCGGGUGUGAAAUCUCGGAGCUUAACUCCGAAACUGCAUUCGAUACUGCCGCGCUUGAGGACUGGAGAGGAGACUGGAAUUUACGGUGUAGCGGUGAAAUGCGUAGAUAUCGUAAGGAAGACCAGUGGCGAAGGCGGGUCUCUGGACAGUUCCUGACGCUGAGGCACGAAGGCCAGGGGAGCAAACGGG
rnacentral:rRNA from 1 species